UAGUUAUGAGCGAUAAGCCCACUGCGGGUUGUCCAUGGUGUUCCCUUCCGGAUGGUUGGCAAAGCCAUGGCGCAACAAGCCCACAGGGCGCGUCUCUU
rnacentral:sRNA from 12 species